AUUUUUUCGGAGAGUUUGAUCCUGGCUCAGGAUGAACGCUGGCGGCGUGCCUAAUACAUGCAAGUCGAGCGAACU
rnacentral:rRNA from 1 species